CUAAGAGAUUGAAGCACUCUGCUGUCCCCCACAGAUUUCUAAACUUCACCAGCAUGACACAUCAUUUCUCUUUGUUACCUUCAUUAGAAACAUGAAGUGAACAGUUGGGCACUAGGGGGUUUUUUUGUUUUUUUUUUUAGCCGUGUAAAAGGAACUGUGAUGAUCCAGCUGCUUGCCUAUAAAUCAAUGUAGAUGUGCUGAUUUACACCAUGUAAGAAAUUGAUUCAUUAGCUCUAAUUAAACAUAGGCCAAAGCUACAUAAUUUAAAUUUGAACAGUGCUCUUGAACACCCUGUUCAGCCCAGGAACUGGGAUUUGCCUGGUGCCUUCCUAUAUUUAGCAUACAGUAACGUAACUGAAGCAGCAAAAUUAGACCUGCAAAUAGACUGGUUUCUCAGUACUUAAUCAAGGACCUUUUCCUGGAACUGCAAAGGGCUCAAAUUAAAAGAAAGGAAUAUGUAGUAAUCAGCUCCAUGGAGGCAGAAGGAAACCACCAUGAGUUUAAACUGCAAACACACUCUCUGGUCAGCUGAAUGUACCGUUGUUUAAAUUAAAUGUGGCUUCACAGUGACCGAGGCCAGGGAUUGCAUGAAACACUUCAGAAUGCGCAGUUCACAUCCAAGGACUUACUGAGUAGAGACAACUCUUAAGGAGCAGGACAGACAAGGCAAGAAGAUGAUGAGUUCUCCUGCACUGGAUCCAUAAACUGCAUUCCCAUCCUCUGCUGUUAUGGGAGGGAGAAGGUGAGGAAGGGACUUGAACCAGCUGUUCCUAAAGAAGCAGGAAGGUCCUUCUGUCCUGUAAGAGUUACAAGAGGCCUUAAAUCACGGAGUUCUGGGAUUCUCUCAGCAACUGUGAGCCAUCUUCGUGUGCUUUUGGCUACCUUCUAGUCAUCUGGCACCCACAUAUUAUGUCAGCCUAGAUCAGCUCCUGAACCGUUCAUCCAGGAGAAAGGCAACUAACUUCAACUCCAUGGAAAGAAGCCAUCAAAUCAUCUCUGAAGGGUUUUUGAAGCUUGACUAAAUAAGCUGUGAUGCUCUGUUACGUUCCUUUCUGUGCAGAGGGAAUUCAGGUUUUGCUGUAUGCAAGUAGUCAAUGAAGAGGUGGUGUAAUCUAUGCUGUUAUAAUGGAAAACCUCUUUGAGGAAACUGAAGAGCUUUUGCCCUUCUUUUUUUUUGGAGACAGUCUCUUUCUCUGAGUAACAGAAUCCGAUGAGCUUUGAGAUGUGCUGCAUGGUCUCCUAUUUAUCCACACUUUCAGGAAGGAGAAGUCAGGGAAGAAAAUGCCCUUUAUGAGAAAAGGUGGGUUUAGUGGGAGCUUAUUGAGCCUCCAGUACAUAGCCUUUAGCUAGGAGAUGUGCUGCAUGGUCUCCUAUUUAUCCACACUUUCAGGAAGGAGAAGUCAGGGAAGAAAAUGCCCUUUAUGAGAAAAGGUGGGUUUAGUGGGAGCUUAUUGAGCCUCCAGUACAUAGCCUUUAGCUAGGAGAUGUGGUUGUUUACUUCUGCUCUAGCUGCACUUUCAGCUUUCAGCAGACAGCUGCAGUCCUUCAUUCAUUUAAAAUGACUUAAUAUUAACUGAAAUAAGUAUUUUAACUUGAAACAUAUAACUUCCAAGAGGAAAAAGAUUCUUUAAGGACUACUCACUAACCAAUCCUGAAAAGCCAGGCUAAAGCUAAAAGAGCCAUUUUCUCAGCUUGUCGCACACUGAUCUGUCCUGCUCAGGUGUGGCUCUGCAGUCUUGAGAGCUACGGUUUCUUAACUUUUGCUCAUGAGAUUUACACCACUGUUUAUCAGCUACCUAGGACUGCUUGACAAUUACAGCUUAAAUAUAUAAACUCCAUCCUCAAAUGAGCAUUACAUUUUCAUUUCACACCUGUACACACUCAGAAUUUGUUAAAAACUAAAGAGUUUUCUCUCCAAUCA
ensembl:lncRNA